UACGUAGGGCGCGAGCGUUGUCCGGAAUUAUUGGGCGUAAAGAGCUCGUAGGCGGCCAGUCGCGUCCGCUGUGAAAUCCCGGGGCUCAACCCCGGGCUUGCAGUGGAUACGGGCUGGCUAGAGGCAGGCAGGGGAGAACGGAAUUCCCGGUGUAGCGGUGAAAUGCGCAGAUAUCGGGAGGAACACCGGUGGCGAAGGCGGUUCUCUGGGCCUGUACUGACGCUGAGGAGCGAAAGCGUGGGGAGCGAACAGG
rnacentral:rRNA from 1 species